AGUGGGAUAGCUGGGUCAAAUGGUGAUUCCAUUCCAAGAUUUCCAAUAAAUCUCCAUAUUGCUUUCCAGAUUGGUUGCACCAGUUUGCAGUCCCACCAUCAAU
rnacentral:pre_miRNA from 1 species